rnacentral:rRNA from 1 species
UACGAAGGGGGCUAGCGUUGUUCGGAAUCACUGGGCGUAAAGGGCGCGUAGGCGGCUUUGUAAGUCGGGGGUGAAAGCCUGUGGCUCAACCACAGAAUUGCCUUCGAUACUGCAUGGCUUGAGACCGGAAGAGGUUAGUGGAACUGCGAGUGUAGAGGUGAAAUUCGUAGAUAUUACGCAAGAACACCCGUGGCGAAGGCGGCUCACUGGGCUGACCUUGACGCGUGAGGCGCGAAGGCGUGGGGAGCGAACGGG